CGGCGUAGCUCAGCGGUAGAGCAAUGCACUCGUAAUGCAUAGGUCGUCGGUUCAAAUCCGACCGUCG
rnacentral:tRNA from 1 species